AACGAACGCUGGCGGCAGGCCUAACACAUGCAAGUCGAGCGAGGACUUCGGUCCUAGCGGCGGACGGGUGAGUAACGCGUGGGAACGUGCCCUUUGCUUCGGAAUAGCCCUGGGAAACUGGGAGUAAUACCGGAUGAGCCCUUUGGGGGAAAGAUUUAUCGGCGAAGGAUCGGCCCGCGUUGGAUUAGGUAGUUGGUGGGGUAAUGGCCUACCAAGCCGACGAUCCAUAGCUGGUUUGAGAGGAUGAUCAGCCACACUGGGACUGAGACACGGCCCAGACUCCUACGGGAGGGAGGAGUGGGGAAUCUUAGACAAUGGGGGAAACCCUGAUCUAGCCAUGCCGCGUGAGCGAUGAAGGCCUUAGGGUUGUAAAGCUCUUUCAGCUGGGAAGAUAAUGACGGUACCAGCAGAAGAAGCCCCGGCUAACUCCGUG
rnacentral:rRNA from 1 species